AUUAACGGCCUUACCACCAUGGACACGCCCGAUCUCGUCUGAUCUCGGAAGCUAAGCAUAGUCGGUCCUGGUUAGUA
rnacentral:rRNA from 10 species